AAACUACAGAAAUAACCACUUUUCCAUAAAAAACAAGGUCUAAAUCAUGUUUGAUGCACUCUGGAUACAAUGUUUUCAACAUAACUGUUCAAACUAGACGAUAGGGACCAUUUUCAGCAAACUGCAGCAAUUAAACUACAGAAAUAACCACUUUUCCAUAAAAAACAAGGUCUAAAUCAUGUUUGAUGCACUCUGGAUACAAUGUUUUCAACAUAACUGUUCAAACUAGACGAUAGGGACCAUUUUCAGCAAACUGCAGCAAUUAAACUACAGAAAUAACCACUUUUCCAUAAAAAACAAGGUCUAAAUCAUGUUUGAUGCACUCUGGAUACAAUGUUUUCAACAUAACUGUUCAAACUAGACGAUAGGGACCAUUUUCAGCAAACUGCAGCAAUUAAACUACAGAAAUAACCACUUUUCCAUAAAAAACAAGGUCUAAAUCAUGUUUGAUGCACUCUGGAUACAAUGUUUUCAACAUAACUGUUCAAACUAGACGAUAUAGGGACCAUUUUCAGCAAACUGCAGCAAUUAAACUACAGAAAUAACCACUUUUCCAUAAAAAACAAGGUCUAAAUCAUGUUUGAUGCACUCUGGAUACAAUGUUUUCAACAUAACUGUUCAAACUAGACGAUAUAGGGACCAUUUUCAGCAAACUGCAGCAAUUAAACUACAGAAAUAACCACUUUUCCAUAAAAAACAAGGUCUAAAUCAUGUUUGAUGCACUCUGGAUACAAUGUUUUCAACAUAACUGUUCAAACUAGACGAUAGGGACCAUUUUCAGCAAACUGCAGCAAUUAAACUACAGAAAUAACCACUUUUCCAUAAAAAACAAGGUCUAAAUCAUGUUUGAUGCACUCUGGAUACAAUGUUUUCAACAUAACUGUUCAAACUAGACGAUAGGGACCAUUUUCAGCAAACUGCAGCAAUUAAACUACAGAAAUAACCACUUUUCCAUAAAAAACAAGGUCUAAAUCAUGUUUGAUGCACUCUGGAUACAAUGUUUUCAACAUAACUGUUCAAACUAGACGAUAGGGACCAUUUUCAGCAAACUGCAGCAAUUAAACUACAGAAAUAACCACUUUUCCAUAAAAAACAAGGUCUAAAUCAUGUUUGAUGCACUCUGGAUACAAUGUUUUCAACAUAACUGUUCAAACUAGACGAUAGGGACCAUUUUCAGCAAACUGCAGCAAUUAAACUACAGAAAUAACCACUUUUCCAUAAAAAACAAGGUCUAAAUCAUGUUUGAUGCACUCUGGAUACAAUGUUUUCAACAUAACUGUUCAAACUAGACGAUAGGGACCAUUUUCAGCAAACUGCAGCAAUUAAACUACAGAAAUAACCACUUUUCCAUAAAAAACAAGGUCUAAAUCAUGUUUGAUGCACUCUGGAUACAAUGUUUUCAACAUAACUGUUCAAACUAGACGAUAUAGGGACCAUUUUCAGCAAACUGCAGCAAUUAAACUAGAGAAAUAACCACUUUUCCAUAAAAAACAAGGUCUAAAUCAUGUUUGAUGCACUCUGGAUACAAUGUUUUCAACAUAACUGUUCAAACUAGACGAUAUAGGGACCAUUUUCAGCAAACUGCAGCAAUUA